rnacentral:rRNA from 1 species
GACGAACGCUGGCGGCGUGCCUAAUACAUGCAAGUAGAACGCUGAAGGAGGAGCUUGCUCUUCUGGAUGAGUUGCGAACGGGUGAGUAACGCGUAGGUAACCUGCCUGGUAGCGGGGGAUAACUAUUGGAAACGAUAGCUAAUACCGCAUAACAGUAGAUGUUGCAUGACAUUUGCUUAAAAGGUGCAGUUGCAUCACUACCAGAUGGACCUGCGUUGUAUUAGCUAGUUGGUGGGGUAACGGCUCACCAAGGCGACGAUACAUAGCCGACCUGAGAGGGUGAUCGGCCACACUGGGACUGAGACACGGCCCAGACUCCUACGGGAGGCAGCAGUAGGGAAUCUUCGGCAAUGGACGGAAGUCUGACCGAGCAACGCCGCGUGAGUGAAGAAGGUUUCCGGAUCGUAAAGCUCUGUUGUAAGAGAAGAACGAGUGUGAGAGUGGAAAGUUCACACUGUGACGGUAUCUUACCAGAAAGGGACGGCUAACUACGUG